UCUCCCCCAUUGAGUUGCACAGACCAUACAUAUCUGUGACCGGGUCUGAUGUACUCCGCCAUGCCACCAUACAUCCAUCAUUUACAUGAGACGCUUCUCCAGUUGCUCCAAAGACGCUAAGGACUGGAAGGCUUGUAUGGAUCGAGGCGUGCCGGGCCGGCUGGCGGUGAGAUCGCCCUACAUCAUAGACAGGAGCAGAGGGGUCACUGAGAUUUCUUAGAAAUGUUUCCAUCAUAGUCGAUGAUCCUCAUGACAUCCUGGGCAGAUGCCUUCCCACCCUGCGGCCUCCGGACCCUGGGACCAACCUGGAACAUAGAAU